UACGGAGGGUGCGAGCGUUGUCCGGAAUCAUUGGGCGUAAAGGGCGCGUAGGUGGCCCAGUCAGUCUUUGGUGAAAGCGCGGGGCUCAACCCUGCGUCGGCCAGGGAUACUGCUGCGGCUCGAGCACUGUAGAGGCAGGCGGAAUUCCUGGUGUAGCGGUGAAAUGCGCAGAGUAUCAAGGAGGACACCGGUGGCGAAGGCGGAUCUCUGGGCCAUUACUGACGCUGAGGAGCGAAAGCGUGGGGAGCGAACAGGAAUUAGAC
rnacentral:rRNA from 1 species